rnacentral:rRNA from 1 species
GUAGGGUGCGAGCGUUAAUCGGAAUUACUGGGCGUAAAGUGUGCGCAGGCGGCAGAGCAAGUCGAGUGUGAAAGCCCCGGGCUUAACUUGGGAAUUGCGCUCGAAACUACUUUGCUGGAGUGUGGCAGAGGAAGGUGGAAUUCCACGUGUAGCGGUGAAAUGCGUAGAGAUGUGGAGGAACACCAAUGGCGAAGGCAGCCUUCUGGGCCAACACUGACGCUCAUGCACGAAAGCGUGGGGAGCAAACAGGAUUAGAUACCCUGGUAGUCCACGCCCUAAACGAUGACGACUAGUUGUUGGAGGAGUUAAAUCCUUUAGUAACGCAGCUAACGCGCGAAGUCGUCCGCCUGGGGAGUACGGUCGCAAGAUUA